CACGCCCCUGUCAGGAUGGGGCAGCGGCUCUGCUGCUGCAGGUCCAGGUGGGUUCCCCCACAGCUCGUGGAUGCACUGGCACAGCUGGGCCCCGCAGCAGCCACCUUGCUCAUGCCCAACGCCGUCUGCCCUGCAGGGAUGUCCCUGGUCCCGACUAGCAGUGCAAGCCUGACCCGGUGUUGCCUGAGCCACUGCUCAGGGAGCAUGUGCGGGUGACCCAGGGACAUGUCCAGAGGAAGAAGAGGGACCUCCUCCUCUUCAAGGACAGUGUGGUCAUCGCCAAGACCAAAUGUGGCAGCACCCCGCACCCACUGUUGUGCCCGGCCCUGGGCCUGCUGCAGGUGCUGAGCAGCGGGAAGGGCUCAGCUGGCGAUGCUGCUGAAGAGGAGGAGGAAGGGAAGGCCUCCAACUCCCUUGUCUUCCUCUGGCCCUGUGGCUCCUGUGUUGUCACUUUCUGCUCCCAGGCAGUGAAGGAACUCUGGGUCAGCGCCCUCCUUGGGCCACCGGAAGGAGUUCAGGGAGCCCGGGUGACCCAGCUGCCGUCCAUCAGGAUGGUGAUGAAGGAUCUGAAUGGCCGCCAUGCUGUGAGUGUCCUUCCUGCCUCU